rnacentral:lncRNA from 1 species
AGAAAUAAUUGUGAAGCUUUAUUAUUGCAAACAUAUGUCUAGGUGAAUAUCGAUAUAAUAAGAACUCGCAAUCUAUGGAAGUCCAAAUGUGUCAUAGUUCCCACUUUGCAAUUCUUUGAAUUGUGUGUACAUAGCUCGGUAAUUUCUAAAUUCCAACUUUGUCUUAAUUAUAAUCUUUUGAUUUUUUGCAUAACAUAUAAAAAUGAAGUUUAUAACUACUUUUUUUCAAAAAUAAAAUAAAUAGUGUGGGUCAUUAGGCGUGCAAAAUUGUCAUGAUUUGUAUAGAAACCGAAAUUGUGUUUGAUUAAAAGAACACAUCGUGAUAGAAGUUUAAAUUGAAAUAUAAGAAGAUAGUUUAACAAGAUGCUUUCAGAUAAAAUAAAAAAGCAUUAUGUCAAAUGGCUCGUUUUCUUGCUUCAUAAUAACAAAGGUUAAUUCAAAUGACAUUCUAUUAUAACAGUAAAUUAUAAGAGUUACCUCCCUUAUAUCUGUGAUCCAUAUCCGUAUUUGGGAAAGUAAACAAAAGUGUUCUCUGUUUUGUCAAAUACAUCCGUAAAUAUGAUAAAACACGUUAUCUUCUAUAUUGACAUACAAAGACUUACAAAUGAAGUAUAUACUACUCUCAAAAGUUGUUCAAGGUCAAGCCCGAUUAAAGAUUGCUAUUUCAAAAUCGAUGAUGGAGGAAGACACCUCAGCUACCUUAGUUUGUUAUAGUGCAAUUCAACAAUUGAAUGUUUGACAAUUCCUAAUUCGGAUAUUGUUGUUCCAUCUUUUUUUGCUUCGUAGUACAUUUGUAUUUUUUACAUUUGUGAGAUGUAUAUAUGUAAUUCGAAAUUUAUAAUAUGUCAAUUGGCGUCUUGCAUUUAUGUUCUUUUUAUAACUUUUACUUGUAAAUAUACAUUAAGCUGACUAGAAGCUAACAAGCAACAUUUGUUCAUCGAUAUUAUUUUAAACUCUUUCUAUUAUCUGAUAUAUGUCGGGACCAGUCAAAGAAACCUAAAUAAAG